rnacentral:rRNA from 1 species
GUGGGGAAUCUUGCGCAAUGGGCGAAAGCCUGACGCAGCCAUGCCGCGUGAAUGAUGAAGGUCUUAGGAUUGUAAAAUUCUUUCACCGGGGACGAUAAUGACGGUACCCGGAGAAGAAGCCCCGGCUAACUUCGUGCCAGCAGCCGCGGUAAUACGAAGGGGGCUAGCGUUGCUCGGAAUUACUGGGCGUAAAGGGCGCGUAGGCGGACAGUUUAGUCAGAGGUGAAAGCCCAGGGCUCAACCUUGGAAUUGCCUUUGAUACUGGCUGUCUUGAGUACGGGAGAGGUGAGUGGAACUCCGAGUGUAGAGGUGAAAUUCGUAGAUAUUCGGAAGAACACCAGUGGCGAAGGCGACUCACUGGCCCGUUACUGACGCUGAGGCGCGAAAGCGUGGGGAGCAAACAGGAUUAGAUACCCGAGUAGUC